AUAAUCUUGCAAGCCAAGGAAGUUUCAUCCCACUUUAUAGCUAAUCUAAUUCAUUUAGGCCAGUCUUCAAAACUUUGAGCCUUAAUUCAAACUGACACUCCAAUGAAGACUUAUUCAAGCACGUCUUUGAUUGUGUAAAUAUUAUUCAAAUUAAAUUCCCAUUUUUUUGCUUAAUUUAGAUACUUUUCUUAUUUUUAGUUAAGAUUCAAAAUGUCUCCUUAUUUAUAGGAAAACCUAUAAUUAGUAAACCUUGAUUUCCAAGCAACUCAUUUAUUCAAAUAUUUAAACAACAAAACGUAUAAUAAUACACUUAAACAUUUAAGCAGUAAGACUUCUUAAACACACGUUGUCAUUUAAAUUCAAAAUCCAAAUAUAAUCCUAUUUAAAGACAAUUAUCUUAAGUCAUUUUAAUUUAAACUUAAUUCAAUAUAUUUCGGACAUAAAAUAUGUAUCAAUUAAUUACUUAAUAAAAUAUGAUUUUGGACCUACUUAAACAACUAAAUAUAAUUACUUAAUUUAUUGUUUAAUUUAAUAUGUGUUUUGAAUUAUCAUCAUUUAAUAGGGAAUUGAGUCUUUAGUUAAGAUUCAAAAUAUAUCCAUACUUAUAGGAAAACCUAUAAUUAGUAUAUCUUGAUUACCAAGCAAAUUAUUUAUUCAAACAUUCAAAAAACAAAACGUGUAAAACAUUAAAACGCACGUUUAUAUUCAAAUUCAAAUUCAAAUACAACCUUAUCUAAAUAAAGACAAUUAUCUUAAGUCAUUUUAGUUCAAACUUAAUUCAACAUAUUUUGGACUUAAAAUAUUUAUCAAUUAAUCACUUAAUAUUUAAUAUGAUUUUGGAUCUACUUAAACAACUAAAUAUAAUUACUUAAUUUAUUGUUUAAUUUAAUAUGUGUUUUGAAUUAUCAUCACUUAAAGAAGUUGAGUCUUCAGUCAUUUAUAGCAUUUCAAUGGGACAGAGGAGUAGAGUGAAGGAUAACUUUUUAGAGAUUGAAAGCAAGUUGACUGAUGCUUUGAUGAUACAAUUGCAUCAAAUAUUUAAAACCUCAAUCUUUGAUAUAGUCCAUAUUGGUCAGUCUUGAUCAAUUUUUGAAAUAUUUUAUUCGGAUUUGGGAGGUUAUAUUAAAUUUGGUAUUAUAUCAAGUUAUGUACUUGAGUUUAUGAUGCUUAAUCUUGAAUGUAAAUUAGAAUCUCCAUAUAAUUUUAUAUCAUUUUGAAAAUUAUAUUUCUUUCAUGUAUGUGUUGAAACUGGUAAUUGGAUCUUUGCAGUCCGUAUUGAGGCUUCUAACCAGAUCUUUUGCAAUUUUCUUUUGAGGUCUUUUUUUUAGCUUAAUUACCAAAGCAAUAUUAUAAAAGAAUUUGGAUAUUUUUUUAAUUUGUUGUCAAAGUAUUCAUUUUGCUGUAAAUCAUGAAGCUUGCAGAGGUGCUAUCUAACUUGGUAUGUAACAGCAAGGAGUUAAGAUGUUUGGGAUAAUGAGAAGCAAGUGUAUUUGGGUAAGCAUUUGUAUUCCAACAGAGGAAAUAUGUUAUACCGAUUGGGUACUAUGUGAAGCAGAGGCGAGGGCACAAGGAAAAAAAUGUUGUACAAACAGCUUGGUGAAGUAUAGAGAUCCAUAAUUCGACCCAAAAUGCAUAAUUUGAAUUUUUGUAAAAAGAAUUUAUACACUCAUAGUCAUAGUCCAUGAAGGGUCAUUCUUUUUUGGUUUUAAAUAUUUAUAGUAGCUAAGAAAAUCACUACUAACAAUCUUAAUUUAUAGUAUCUUAAGUGAAAAUGGGUGGAUCAUUUUUAAAGUAUGUCCACUUGGGUAAUGCAAUUGUUGUUACUGUUGUGCUUUGAACUUCUCUAGAAUGCUUCAAAAACAUAAGAAUCUUGCAUAUGCUCUGAUAAUCUGGUGAUGACAAUUUUUGGAACUGUCAAGUAAUGACAACUCUCCUACCUACAGUUUUGCAAGCCAGAAAAUUUAUACAUUACCAGCAGCUUUGCUAUCAGGCCUUGACAAUGUUCAGAAACCAGACAUUAGCUUCGUAAUGUAGCUUCACACAUCAUUUGUAUAUGAAAACCCUUGAAUACAGUUAUGUUCUACGAUUCUCUUGCCACUCUCUUCUUCUCUCUUUAUUUUUCAUAAAAAUACCAAUUGAUACCAAUUCAAGGCUCAGAGCUCAACAACAAGGAGGAAGACCAAGAGAACCCAAGUAACACAAGCAAUAUCAUGAACAACAAGUCUGAAGGUCCUGAACUAACUUCGGAUUCUGAACUAGCUUCAACAUUAAACAAGAAAGACUUCCAAUGCGACACGUACAUACUAGGAAAUGAUGAAUUAAUUAAAGGAAACCAGAUGCAAACGAAUGAAGCAGCAAAAGAACAAAAACUAACAGAAAUAAGCAAAACAGACCAGCAGCAAAGUCUGACGCCAGCCACUGACCAGACCACCUUGGAAGGCCCGCCCAGACGAUACCCGAGCCCAUGGGAUGACGUGGAGGGUAGAUUUGGAAUCUCCACACAUGGGCCUAGCUGCCAUGGCCCAAGAAUCCUCCUGAAAGUCAUCGGAGAAGGGCUGAAAACGGAGUCCAAGGUCGCCCAGUCGACAGUCAGCACAGCAGCUGUUGCAUGAGUUCUGGUUGUUUUAUUUUGAGCUUAAUUAGGCUCGUGUAUAGGCACGUGAGGUAUAUUACCGUUAUUAGCCGUUAAACCUUCAUGUAAUCAGCCUAAUCCUGAUCCCUAGCCUUAUAAAUAGUAGAUACAAUCAUUGUAAAGCUCACG